AGAGUUUGAUCAUGGCUCAGAUUGAACGCUGGCGGCAGGCCUAACACAUGCAAGUCGAGCGGUAGCACAGAGAGCUUGCUCUCGGGUGACGAGCGGCGGACGGGUGAGUAAUGUCUGGGAAACUGCCUGAUGGAGGGGGAUAACUACUGGAAACGGUAGCUAAUACCGCAUAAUGUCGCAAGACCAAAGUGGGGGACCUUCGGGCCUCAUGCCAUCAGAUGUGCCCAGAUGGGAUUAGCUAGUAGGUGGGGUAAUGGCUCACCUAGGCGACGAUCCCUAGCUGGUCUGAGAGGAUGACCAGCCACACUGGAACUGAGACACGGUCCAGACUCCUACGGGAGGCAGCAGUGGGGAAUAUUGCACAAUGGGCGCAAGCCUGAUGCAGCCAUGCCGCGUGUGUGAAGAAGGCCUUCGGGUUGUAAAGCACUUUCAGCGGGGAGGAAGGCGGUGAGGUUAAUAACCUCAUCGAUUGACGUUACCCGCAGAAGAAGCACCGGCUAACUCCGUGCCAGCAGCCGCGGUAAUACGGAGGGUGCAAGCGUUAAUCGGAAUUACUGGGCGUAAAGCGCACGCAGGCGGUCUGUCAAGUCGGAUGUGAAAUCCCCGGGCUCAACCUGGGAACUGCAUUCGAAACUGGCAGGCUAGAGUCUUGUAGAGGGGGGUAGAAUUCCAGGUGUAGCGGUGAAAUGCGUAGAGAUCUGGAGGAAUACCGGUGGCGAAGGCGGCCCCCUGGACAAAGACUGACGCUCAGGUGCGAAAGCGUGGGGAGCAAACAGGAUUAGAUACCCUGGUAGUCCACGCCGUAAACGAUGUCGAUUUGGAGGUUGUGCCCUUGAGGCGUGGCUUCCGGAGCUAACGCGUUAAAUCGACCGCCUGGGGAGUACGGCCGCAAGGUUAAAACUCAAAUGAAUUGACGGGGGCCCGCACAAGCGGUGGAGCAUGUGGUUUAAUUCGAUGCAACGCGAAGAACCUUACCUGGUCUUGACAUCCACAGAACUUAGCAGAGAUGCUUUGGUGCCUUCGGGAACUGUGAGACAGGUGCUGCAUGGCUGUCGUCAGCUCGUGUUGUGAAAUGUUGGGUUAAGUCCCGCAACGAGCGCAACCCUUAUCCUUUGUUGCCAGCGGUUAGGCCGGGAACUCAAAGGAGACUGCCAGUGAUAAACUGGAGGAAGGUGGGGAUGACGUCAAGUCAUCAUGGCCCUUACGACCAGGGCUACACACGUGCUACAAUGGCAUAUACAAAGAGAAGCGACCUCGCGAGAGCAAGCGGACCUCAUAAAGUAUGUCGUAGUCCGGAUUGGAGUCUGCAACUCGACUCCAUGAAGUCGGAAUCGCUAGUAAUCGUAGAUCAGAAUGCUACGGUGAAUACGUUCCCGGGCCUUGUACACACCGCCCGUCACACCAUGGGAGUGGGUUGCAAAAGAAGUAGGUAGCUUAACCUUCGGGAGGGCGCUUACCACUUUGUGAUUCAUGACUGGGGUGAAGUCGUAACAAGGUAACCGUAGGGGAACCUGCGGUUGGAUCACCU
rnacentral:rRNA from 2 species